GGCCCACUGGCGCAAUGGUAGCGCGUCAGAUUCCAGAUUUUCUUAUACCGGAGCUUCCUGAAGGUUAGCCGUUCGAGUCGGCUGUGGGUCA